CCUACGGGAGGCAGCAGUGGGGAAUAUUGCGCAAUGGGCGAAAGCCUGACGCAGCGACGCCGCGUGAGGGAUGAAGGUCUUCGGAUCGUAAACCUCUGUCAGCAUGGAAGAACGGUCACGGUGCUAAUCAGCAGUGAAUUGACGGUACCGGCAAAGGAAGCACCGGCUAACUCCGUGCCAGCAGCCGCGGUAAUACGGAUGGUGCGAGCGUUACUCGGAAUUACUGGGCGUAAAGCGCUCGUAGGCGGUAUGUCAAGUCAAGGGUGAAAUCCCCGCGCUCAACGUGGGAACUGCCUUUUAAACUGGCAAACUGGUGUGUGUGAGAGGUUAUUGGAAUUCCAGGUGUAGGCGU
rnacentral:rRNA from 1 species